CUGAGGUUGGCCCUACUGAGGAAGUACCGUCACACAGAUGCUGCCCUGAGGAUUGAGGAAGAGAAUGAGCAUGGGAGACUGUGUCACCAAGACCUUCUCGGAGACGCACCCCUUGGGACACUUGCACCUGCUUUAUCUGGCAGAGGUGCCACUCACCAAUGAGCAGCUCAAGGGCAAUACGGUCGGAGGACUCAUAGGGUCGGUUCAGGAAGAGGACCAACUGGAAAGGCUGCCCACGGCGCACAAUCAGCUCAUCAUACUCAAACUCAUCAGUGUGGUGUUCACGACGGUUCUGAUCUGAACGUGAGCUCAGCAAAUCCACACCGGUCACCACCAGCAUGCCCUCUGCAAGGCCACAUCCCAGGCUGAAGUGGACCGCUGGCCUUACCUCGGAUGGUGCCAUCACCUGCUGCAUUCACACCACUGCCCCGGGAUUCAGGUCUUCGAUUCCUGGACCCUCGAUUUCUGGAACCCCUGGAGCCAG